GAGAACAGGUUUGUUUGGUUUAAGGUUUAAGGUCACUGAAUUACUUUCUUUAUCAAUCUGUGUCGCAGUUUGUUUUUCUCCAUCUAAAGCCCAGAGCCGUGCAGAGACCAGACUCUGAAGUACUCAGUAUGUCUGACUCAAUGAGGAACCGCAGGUUACAACACUGGCUUAAUGAGCCCAACUCGACCUUCUCCCAAUCGAUGAUAGAUGGCGCUGAAGCAGCAGAUGAUGCUAUAGAGUCAGGAUUCUCAUCUGUCAGUCACUUUCUCAGUGAUGACGACCAAUCGACAUGUCCAUCUGAUCUAUCCCUCCACAGUGAUUGGUCAAAUGGAAUAUUUAUUGAUUUUAAAAAA